CGUAUUACUGUUGCUUCCCUACAAAUAAAAAGUCUUACUCUUGCCCGAUCCCCUUUCUCCUUUCCUUCUUCUCUCCGCUCGCUCAUUCCAAAAUUCGUACGACCGGAUGAGACCCGACUGCUCGACUCGCAGGUGAUGUGGGCUUGGAUCUUGUCUUCCACUGCCAGCUUGAAUCCAUCUUGAGCGUGAGGAUGGCGGCAGCGUUGUCUUCCACUAGCGCGCGAGCCGGACGCAUCGUCGUUGUUCCUAGUCGAGGCAGACUGACACAUCGUCGUCAUCCUCCACAUCGGCAGCUUUCUUCGACCUACAGAAGGAAGUAACCAAGGGCUUUUGGGCUCGACCAGUGGAGAUGGGGAUGAGGACGAUGUCCAAGACGGCACCUGAUCUGUACCAAUCCACCAUAGUGUUGGUGCCCUACCACCAUGAGAGCAGUCAGCAGCAGUCUUCACCAUCCUCGCGCUCAAUACGGCCUAGUCAAUGCAUGUUUAGCUUGGAUAUUUUCUAUAACUUGGAUACUAAAUAUCACAUACAGUAGAUAUUACCUGCUUUCUACUUGGACAAAUCGGUCUCUGAAACAGCUAACGAAUGAAUGUAGUGCAUCUUAGAGAAAUAAAUCAAAUAAUUGUGGUUGAUGAUGAGAC